rnacentral:tRNA from 1 species
GCGGAGGUCGGAUAGUCUGGUCAAUUCCGCUGGCUUGAGGAGCCAGUUCCUUAGUGGAUACGCAGGUUCAAAUCCUGCCCUCCGCA